CUGAAAACCUGUGGAAUCCCAUACAUAACAACAUAUACAUGAUCUGUAAAAAUUUUUCUUUUCUCUUAUCCAAGCAAAACCUGUGCAUGCACAAAAUCAUACAUAAACCCCACACUGGAGUCCUCAUCAAAUACUCCAAUGGGGUAUCAUCAUCAUACAUAUCAGCUUGGAUAAUCAUGGUCAUUAACAUCAUUACUCAUUAAACACUCUGUACAUAAUGGGGAUUCACACACCUCUAGGUCAAGCACUACUAUAAUCCUCAAUACAUCAUCAAAUCAUUCAUUACAUUACAUGGUCAUAAAUACUCGUUACAUCAUGUUCAUGUCCAC
rnacentral:lncRNA from 1 species